rnacentral:lncRNA from 1 species
GAAGGGGUUGUCGGGCUUGGAGGCGGCAUCGAACUGGACGGCGGGCGGCGAAGUGGGAGGCGGGACCGGGGCGACGUCCUCGGCGAUGGCGACCGGGGGGAGGGAGGAAAGGAGGAAGGCGGCGGCCGCGGCAACGGAAGGGGACAGGGUGAGGCGGUUGUCGUUGCUAUUCUUGUUGCGAUCGAGGAGUGAUCGAAUGGAGUUGGUUCGUCUCGGGAGGAGGAGGAGGAGGGUAGGGUUGGGCGUGGAUUUCGGACGGAG